GUGGGGAAUUUUGGACAAUGGGCGCAAGCCUGAUCCAGCAAUGCCGCGUGCAGGAAGAAGGCCUUCGGGUUGUAAACUGCUUUUGUACGGAACGAAACGGUCCGGGUUAAUACCCUGGGCUAAUGACGGUACCGUAAGAAUAAGCACCGGCUAACUACGUGCCAGCAGCCGCGGUAAUACGUAGGGUGCAAGCGUUAAUCGGAAUUACUGGGCGUAAAGCGUGCGCAGGCGGUUUUGUAAGACAGGCGUGAAAUCCCCGGGAUCAACCUGGGAAUUGCGCUUGUGACUGCAAGGCUGGAGUGCGGCAGAGGGGGAUGGAAUUCCGCGUGUAGCAGUGAAAUGCGUAGAUAUGCGGAGGAACACCGAUGGCGAAGGCAAUCCCCUGGGCCUGCACUGACGCUCAUGCACGAAAGCGUGGGGAGCAAACAGGAUUAGAUACCCGAGUGGUCC
rnacentral:rRNA from 1 species